AAACAUGACCUUCAGCAACUUGUCUCCUAAACGACCCAGAACUGAGCUGUGCUAGGGUCUGCUCUCGCUCCAGACAGACCCUGGCAGGGUGGUUGGUGAGCCUCGGUUCAUGUGAGAUGCUAGAUGUCACCUGCAGAAGAAGAGAAGAGCUUACCUCUUCCACAGAGAUGGCCCCGGGCCAGCAAAUUCGCUCUGUCAGCCUGCGCAGCGGCUGUGGCAGAACUAGUGACAUUUCCUCUGGAUCUCACGAAAACUCGGCUGCAGAUCCAAGGUGAGGCUGCCGUCCGUCGGGAUGGAGCUGCGGCCGGCCAGGCAGCCCCGUACCGCGGGAUGCUGCGCACGGCAGCAGGAAUCGUGCAGGAGGAGGGAUUAGGGAAGCUCUGGCAAGGCGCCACGCCAGCCGUCUACCGCCAUAUAGUGUACUCUGGAGUUCGGAUGGUUGCCUAUGAACAUCUCCGUGACUCUGUGCUUUGCAGGGCUGAGGAUAAAACCUUUCCUCUCUGGAAAGCUGUGGUUGGAGGCAUGUCUGCAGGUGCCAUCGGACAGUUUUUUGCCAGCCCAACUGAUCUGGUGAAGGUGCAGAUGCAGAUGGAGGGAAAGAGGAAGUUGGAAGGAAAGCCGUUACGGUUUCGGGGUGUGCACCAUGCAUUUCUGAAGAUCCUGUCCGAAGGAGGAAUACGGGGGCUUUGGGCUGGAUGGGUGCCAAAUGUUCAGAGGGCUGCUCUGGUGAACAUGGGAGAUCUGACCACUUAUGACACAGUGAAACACUUCUUGCUUCUGAACACACCACUUGUGGACAAUAGUGUGACUCACAGUGUUUCCAGUAUCUGUUGCUGUUGGCAGUGUCUGUUCUGGCCUGGUAGCGGCUGUUCUGGGAACUCCUGCCGACGUGGUCAAAACCCGGAUAAUGAACCAGCCGAGAGACAAGCAGGGAAGAGGUCUGCUCUAUAAGUCGUCCAUGGACUGCUUGAUUCAAACUGUCCAGGGUGAAGGGUUUAUGUCUCUAUACAAAGGCUUUAUACCAACCUGGAUGCGAAUGGCUCCUUGGUCACUGGUAUUCUGGCUUACAUAUGAACAAAUCAGAAGGAUCUGCGGAGUUAGUUCUUUUUAAAAUCUUCAAUAUUGACAAAACACAGAAGAAUAAAAAAGCUGAAUUCUCAUUCCACGUGGCAGUAGGAUCACGUGUAUAAGUUGCUUCUCCAAAUCCAGUCUUUGCUGGUUAGGAACAGGCAUGACUUAAGGACACUAUUUGAUUGUCAGACUGCUACAUGAAAUUUAUAUUAUCUAAAAUCAUCAUAAUAAUAUUACAGCUAGCAGCCAGCAUCAGCUUACUGAAACAGUAAAAAGGGUAAAAGAAAAAGUCUACCAAGCAAAUAGAAUAUAAGAAUGUCUGCUUGUUUGACAGUAGAGAUGGUUCCUAUUGUUAAGGACAAGAGCAGGUUGAAAACAUAGCACUGAACAACUGAACAUCUUCUGUGGCUAAAUUAUAAAUUAUAAAAUUAUUUGGGCAUUUUUGUUAUUAAUUGCAUUUGCACACACAUAAAGAACUACCUCUCGUUAGUGUGAUGCCUCAGUAAACCAAGCCUGUAGUGCUAGGUAUUGAAAAAGAUAAAAGCAGUUUACCUGAUUCCAAAUUUGCUUUCCACAAAAAGUGGAAGGGUUUGUGUUCCUCUCACUUCCCAGAGACUGCCCGACCUCUCUACUCAACCAUGAGUGGAUCCAUGAUUGAAAUGCAGUCCUGUUCUCAAGAAAUCAAAAGCCUAGUUCACUCUGCCCCUCUUGAAGGACUCAUGAUACUUCCAGCUGAACUACUUGUCCCAUGACAGUCCUGGUGCUGAUGUGGCACACUGGGUUGUUAAGGUACCACUUUUCCAUGGAAAUAUGCACUCUGCCCACUUUAGAUCUUGUUGGAAAUAUAACAUCCUCUUUAAAGCACAAAACGUUUGAACAGGAGUGAUUUAUUUAUUUUUAAACCUAAUGCCUUCCAGAUUUCAUAGGGAAGGAGAUUAGUGCUGUUUGUCAGUAGAUUCAUCCUUGGCAACGAAGAGGCAAAAAUGCAAUAUUAAAAGUCACUAUUUGUAGAUAGAACAAAGCUGGCUUUGAUUUAGUGAUAUCUAAUAAUGAAAUGACUGUACAAGACUUGGCUCUCUGAGUAAAUACUCAUGAUUUCUUCUAGAAAAUAGUGUAGCCAGUGACUUCAAUAUGCCAAUUUCUCAUUAAAUAAAGUUUGGGCAUCUUUUGGCUUGCACUUA